AUAUCUCUCCGUACGGGAAGGAUGAGAAGCUUCGACUAAGGUUCGAUUCGAGCGCAGCGAGAAAGCGUUGCCGCAGGCAACGACCCGAAGGGCGAAGCGCGCAGCGCUGAGUCAUCCUUCCCCCACCAC
rnacentral:sRNA from 1 species